AUGGGUGGCCUCCUGGAUAGCCUCACCUGGGCUGGUGGGGAAGAAAGCACACUCUGGAACCAAUGUUCCUGGAGCCUGACUCUGCUGUCUAUUCAUACCUUACCUGUUCCUGUCCCACAGAUGAUGUCAGCGAGGAAGGCCCUGUGGGUUCCUGUGCCCCUGGAGAAAGAGCUGUGCUCAAGGUCUCAGCAGCCCAUGAGCUGCUUGUGCCAACCCCAUUGGCAGUCCCUGACUUGCCAAGGGAAAAGUGUGGACUGGCCACGCACCCUUUCAUCAGGGGUACCUCGUGAGUGGAUGGACUGUGUCAUUCGGCCUGUGUGGGUCAGCAGGAGUUCUGGACAAGUCACCUUAUGCAAGUGUGAGGUGUGAACCCACAGAGAUUUAGGAAGGCAGACUCUGGCCAUGUUCCUGACUGAGCUGUGCCCAUCUUGGACUCUGAGGUCCUUACUUGAAACCCGGGCCUGGAGAGGGGGUAAAGCAAGGAAUAUCAGUGAUUUCUGUGGGAGGAUUCACAUGGGGUCAGUCCCCCCAUUUGCCACUGGUUGGCUACGGCCACCCUGGAUUGCCUUGCUGUAUAGCCAGAAUUGGGUGGACACUGUGGAUCAGGCCUCUGUGCAAGGCAUGAUUUUAGUUUAAGUAGAAGGCCUGGGUUCAAGUUACCAUGGCAGGGAGGAAGGUUUGGCAGGCUGCCACUUUGCUGUUGCCUGGCAAGUGGGAUUUUCACAUGGUUCCCAUGUCAGAGAGAACCUAAGACCCAGAGACACUUUGGGCAAUGCAUGUCCAGGGUUUGCCAACAUGUGGGGCAGGGCACUUUCAGGGUGAUGCCAGGCACACAACAUCCCACUACUUUUCUCAUCCAUGGACUGGUGUUCGCAGACCACAUAGGUGGACUUCAGACUGAGUUGAGCUCAGCAAGGAUGCCAUGGACCCUCCUGAUCUAGGGCUCCUACUCCUCCACAGGAGACAGCAAGAAGUGAUCCAGUCCGAUGCCUGUAAUACAUCUUUCAGUUGUGUAUGUGACACUUUUGGCAGCGACUAUUGGAGGAAGUUGUCUCCAUGGGGGAUGGCCUGGACUCAGAAUGCACUGUGUUCAUGCAGCCUGCACCUUAGCAUAAGGGCAUGUCUAGUGAUGCCAUGUUCGUAGUUCCAGGGCUCCGUGAGGGUGCUUCUUGAAUAUGUCUGUUUGGAAUUGUCCUCUCAUACUUAGGUUUAGUCAUUGCCUGCCUGUACAAUCCGGUUCCUUAUCAGGACCUGGGUAUCAGAGGCAAGAAGGAGCUGGAAGUAGGCGCUUCCAGCAGAACGAUUCUAUCCAAGUGGAUUUCUCUGUCCCAGUGACCACAAUGCCCAGUAGUUUUGCAGGCCAGGUGGG
rnacentral:lncRNA from 1 species